UGGGGAAUCUUGCUCAAUGGGCGAAAGCCUGAAGCAGCGACGCCGCGUGGAGGAUGAAGGCCUUCGGGUUGUAAACUUCUGUUAAGUGGGAAAAAAGACAUUUUGUUAAUAGCAUAAUGAGAUGAUUGUACCACUAGAGAAAGCACUGGCUAAUCUCGUGCCAGCAGCCGCGGUAAUACGAGAGGUGCGAGCGUUAUUCGGAAUCAUUGGGCGUAAAGGGUGCGUAGACGGUAAAAUAAGUUUGUUGUUAAAAUUCCUGGCCUAACUGGGAGUCUGCAAUGAAUACUGUUUUGCUAGAGAGUGAGAGAGAGAAGUGGAAUUCUUGGAGUAGCGGUCAAAUGCGUAGAUCUCAAGAGGAACACCGAUGGCGAAAGCAGCUUCUUGGCUCAUUUCUGACGUU
rnacentral:rRNA from 1 species